rnacentral:lncRNA from 1 species
GAGCUAUAGCGCCCUGCCUGUUCUGGGCUUCUUGCAGAGCCUCUUCAGCUGCAGAGAAGCAGCUCUCCUUUCUCCAAGUCCAGAGCCAACAGGACGAAUAAUGAAGCUGUUGGGAAGAUUUACUGAUAAUACAUGUAAAGGGUCUAGCACAUUUUAGGAGCUCAAGGUUGGUGCCUUCCCUUUUUCUUUACUCUGAACCGGAUAUGAGGCCUUGAGAAAGAAGAGAGGCGCUUGCAAAACGAGGAGGAGAAAAGGUUCCCUCGAAGGACGUCUUUGCUUGCGCGUUCACGGAGCCUUGAGAACGAGUGGCCGAGGGGACCCCUGCGGCCCUGCGCGCCUGAGCUAGGACAAACUGAUACUCAGCGGAAGGAGUCCUGAGAAUAAAGAAGUGCAGAAAAUGGCUGGUGUCAGUCCACAGAUGACCAGACUCGUUCACUGGGACAUGUAAGACAUCCUUUAGGGGUUUGCACAAAUAGCUGGUGAGUACUUUGUCUGGAUUUGUGGGUCUACACUGAUGAGUGGGGCCAAGAGCCAGAGACACAGAAGCUAUGUUUUUGUUUGUUUGUUUGUUUGUUUUUUGAGAUGGAGUUUCACU